GUGAGGAAUUUUCCGCAAUGGGCGAAAGCCUGACGGAGCAAUGCCGCGUGAAGGAUGAAGGCCUAUGGGUUGUAAACUUCUUUUCUCAGAAAAGAAUUAUGACGGUAUCUGAGGAAUAAGCAUCGGCUAACUCUGUGCCAGCAGCCGCGGUAAGACAGAGGAUGCAAGCGUUAUCCGGAAUGAUUGGGCGUAAAGCGUCUGUAGGUUGUUUAAAAUGUAUUCUGUCAAAGAUUAGGGCUUAACCCUAGAUAGGCAGAAUAAACUUUUAAGCUAGAGUUUGGUAGAGGCAGAGGGAAUUCCCGGUGGAGCGGUGAAAUGCGUAGAUAUCGGGAGGAACACCAAAGGCGAAGGCACUCUGCUGGGCCAAUACUAACACUGAGAGACGAAAGCGAGGGGAGCAAAUGGGAUUAGAAACCCGGGUAGUCC
rnacentral:rRNA from 1 species